rnacentral:tRNA from 1 species
GGAACAAUACUCAAGUGGUUGAAGAGGCAGGCUUGGAAAGCUUGUAGACGGUUAAAGCCGUGCAAGGGUUCAAAUCCCUUUUGUUCCG